CUGGGUGGUAUGUAUUUGGCUUCGAUAUACUUUGCAUAAUCGGCAUACCACGAUGCACUAUGUGAAGUGCGGAUGACAUUUAAUUGCUCAUCAGGAAAGUUGUCAUCAAUAGGUAGUGGGUCAUCAAGGACAUUCUCUAGCCUAGACAAAUUAUCUGCUAGAAGGUUAUCAGCACCCUUUCGGUCAACGACGUGCAAAUCAAAUUUCUGUAGCAGGAGAACCCAUCUUAUUAGCCUAGGCUUAGC
rnacentral:lncRNA from 1 species